rnacentral:lncRNA from 1 species
UUUAAUAUUUAUGAUGUAAGUAAAAUUUCUAUUGUAACUAAUAAAUUAUUUGCAAUGAAAAAUAUUUUAUGUUAUAAAAAUCCUAUAUUCUUGUAUUAUAAUUUUUUUUUAUUUUUUUGAAUAUAGUAUAAUUUAAAAUUUAAAAUAUAUCUUCAUUAUUCAUUAUCUAAAUAAUUAUCAUUAGAGUAUCAUCACAAAA